UGAAGACCACUUGCAUAUUUGAAUAAACUUAAGUUUUGGUUAUCAUUGACUGCAAUGUGUCGUUGCCUAACAAUGAUAGCUUUUCCCCUGCACCAUGAAUCAGCAACACUGACCCAAAUCCGAGCAAAAAGAAAUUGAUGUUCUUGACAUACCACUUCGAUUGCCUUGUAUAAUCCACCAAGAGUACAUUGCUGGUCAUCCAAAACCUG
rnacentral:lncRNA from 1 species